AUAUCAAUAAGCGGAGGAAAAGAAACUAACAAGGAUUCCCCUAGUAGCGGCGAGUGAAGCGGGAAGAGCUCAAAUUUGUAAUCUGGCGUCUUUCAGGCGUCCGAGUUGUAAUCUAUAGAAGUGUUUUCCGUGCUGGACCAUGUCCAAGUCCCUUGGAACAGGGUAUCAAAGAGGGUGACAAUCCCGUACUUGACAUGACCACCAGUGCUCUGUGAUACACUCUCUACGAGUCGAGUUGUUUGGGAAUGCAGCUCAAAAUGGGUGGUAAAUUCCAUCUAAAGCUAAAUAUUGGCGAGAGACCGAUAGCGAACAAGUACCGUGAGGGAAAGAUGAAAAGCACUUUGGAAAGAGAGUUAAACAGUACGUGAAAUUGUUGAAAGGGAAACGAUUGAAGUCAGUCGUGUUCAUUGGACUCAGCCGGUUUUCGGUGUAUUUCCUUUGAACGGGUCAACAUCAGUUUUGUCCGGUGGAUAAAGGCAGGAAGAAAGUGGCUCCCUCGGGAGUGUUAUAGCUUUCUGUCACAUACACUGGAGGAGACUGAGGACUGCAGCUCGCCUUUUGGCCGGGGUUCGCCCACGUUCGAGCUUAGGAUGUUGACAUAAUGGCUUUAAACGAC
rnacentral:rRNA from 1 species